UCGGGCGUGGUAUACCUUAUAAUACGUCACAAGCAAUGGCGCCGGCAAAUAGCGCCGGAUGUAUUGGAUUUUUCUAUGAAUUGGCUGUAUAACGGUAACGGUACCAAUUCAGUGUACCAUUUUUUCCAGAUAACCAUUUCUCAACCCAUCUAAGAGGAUAUCCUGUGUAUAUUAUCGCAGUAUUGGCACCUACCCCUGCACAGAUACCCCGAAUAGACCUGCCCGGACCAUUAUUAGAAGAGUGGACAGCAUUGUGCACCUGACCGGAAAAGUCCCUCGGAAAUGUUACAUUGCGAGGCAGAGAUCGUCGCAGGGUUCGAUUAAAGCUCUCGACCUUCUGAGAGUUGCAGUUUUUGAUCGUCUUGGCCAGGACAGCUGGAGACAAUCUUCUUGAGAUACAAGCAUGGAGCAAGUUCUCAUUCUCGGCCGAACAGGCUUCCUGAGCGUAACAAAUGGUGGCACCCUGGCCGCGGGAGCAUUUCCUGUUUUUCUGAAGCUGAAGGAGGGUCCUUCACUAACUGAUCCAUUUCAGGAGGCAGUCUUUCAUAUGGAGCAGUCAAAAAUCAGAUCCAAAUAUCAUCAGAAUUGUCAGAGUCUUUCAUUCCUGGUAAUGUCAAUGUCCAUAGAUGGUGCAGCUCAUUCACAUGGUGACAGAUCUCAUGACACAGAAAUUUCAGAACUCAAAUUUCCUACCUGUGCACAGGGUGGUGUCCACUAAGCUAAUGGUGGGGAUAGUAGCAGCUAUCCUGCACACAGACAUUGAAUGGAGCUGUCUGAUCCAUUAUCAGAAGAGUGGACAGCACUAUGCGUCCGAUCAGAGAAGUUUAUCAAGAAGCAUUACGAGGGACUUGUAUGAAUGGACAGAAGACAUUUUCUUAAUUCACCACUCCAUCAUUGCCUGGUGUUGAAGACUGAACACUUUAUUGAAAAUUGAUAGGAUGUAGCAAUCAAUGGGUGUCAUCAUUUGCCCUGAGAAGACUAAGAGAACUCCCUGGUCCUCAUGAGAUGGUGACACCCUGCAGUAGGAGCAGUUCUUACCGGUAUCUCUUAAAAGAAGAGAGGUUUUCUUAGCAUCUGAUCCAUUUCUGGAGACAAACUUUUGAAUGGAGCUGGGUAGCAGUUACUCGAGAUGUCUGACUGAUUGACGAGGAUAAUUGUCCUGCGCCUGACAUUCUGGUAGGACUUGGAUAGCUCUAUCACUGUAGAAAAUGUCAGGACGGUGGAGAUUUAGAUAAGUGGUGUGAUGUUAUUGAUGGUAAACAGAAGACUGUGACCUUGAAUCUGAAGAUCUGUGAUGAAGACCGGACGUUUGGGGUCACUCUCUGUUACAGUACUACAAAUCUAAGUAAGUACUCAGUAAUAA